CCUACGGGAGGCAGCAGUGAGGAAUAUUGGUCAAUGGACGUAAGGCUGAACCAGCCAAGUAGCGUGAAGGAUGACGGCCCUAUGGUUUGUAAACUUCUUUUAUAGGGGAAUAAAAGUAUCCACGUGUGGAUAUUUGUAUGUACCCUAUGAAUAAGCAUCGGCUAACUCCGUGCCAGCAGCCGCGGUAAUACGGAGGAUGCGAGCGUUAUCCGGAUUUAUUGGGUUUAAAGGGAGCGUAGGUGGAUUGUUAAGUCAGCGGUGAAAGUUUGUGGCUCAACCAUAAAAUUGCAGUUGAAACUGGAAGACUUGAGUGUAGUAGAGGUGGGCGGAAUGCGUGGUGUAGCGGUGAAAUGCUUAG
rnacentral:rRNA from 1 species